rnacentral:rRNA from 1 species
CCUACGGGGGGCAGCAGUGGGGAAUAUUGCGCAAUGGGCGAAAGCCUGACGCAGCGACGCCGCGUGUGGGAUGAAGGUCUUCGGAUCGUAAAGCACUGUCAGCAGGGAAGAACGGUCACUGUGCUAAUCAGCAGUGAAUUGACGGUACCUGCAGAGGAAGCACCGGCUAACUCCGUGCCAGCAGCCGCGGUAAUACGGAGGGUGCGAGCGUUAAUCGGAAUUACUGGGCGUAAAGCGCUCGUAGGCGGUAUGUCAAGUCAAGGGUGAAAUCCCCGCGCUCAACGUGGGAACUGCCUUUGAAACUGGCAAACUUGAGUGUCUUAGAGGAUAGUAGAAUUCCAGGUGUAGGAGUGAAAUCCGUAGAUAUCUGGAGGAACAUCAGUGGCGAAGGCGACUAUCUGGAACAUAACUGACGCUGAGGAGCGAAAGCGUGGGUAGCAAACAGGAUUAGAUACCCCGGUAGUC